GUCUACGCCGCACCACCCUGCAGGCGCCCGGUCUCCUCUGAUCUCGUGAAGUUCAGCAGGGUCGGGCCUGGUUAGUACUUGGAUGGGAUUCCGCCUAGGAAUAGCGGGUACCAUAGGCU
rnacentral:rRNA from 1 species